rnacentral:rRNA from 1 species
CGCGUAGGUAACCUGCCUGGUAGCGGGGGAUAACUAUUGGAAACGAUAGCUAAUACCGCAUAAUAUUAAUUAUUGCAUGAUAAUUAAUUGAAAGGUGCAAUUGCACCACUACCAGAUGGACCUGCGUUGUAUUAGCUAGUAGGUGAGGUAACGGCUCACCUAGGCGACGAUACAUAGCCGACCUGAGAGGGUGAACGGCCACAUUGGGACUGAGACACGGCCCAG